rnacentral:rRNA from 1 species
GUCGAGCGAACGGACGAGAAGCUUGCUUCUCUGAUGUUAGCGGCGGACGGGUGAGUAACACGUGGAUAACCUACCUAUAAGACUGGGAUAACUUCGGGAAACCGGAGCUAAUACCGGAUAAUAUUUUGAACCGCAUGGUUCAAAAGUAAAAGACGGUCUUGCUGUCACUUAUAGAUGGAUCCGCGCUGCAUUAGCUAGUUGGUAAGGUAACGGCUUACCAAGGCAACGAUGCAUAGCCGACCUGAGAGGGUGAUCGGCCACACUGGAACUGAGACACGGUCCAGACUCCUACGGGAGGCAGCAGUAGGGAAUCUUCCGCAAUGGGCGAAAGCCUGACGGAGCAACGCCGCGUGAGUGAUGAAGGUCUUCGGAUCGUAAAACUCUGUUAUUAGGGAAGAACAUAUGUGUAAGUAACUGUGCACAUCUUGACGGUACCUAAUCAGAAAGCCACGGCUAACUACGUGCCAGCAGCCGCGGUAAUACGUAGGUGGCAAGCGUUAUCCGGAAUUAUUGGGCGUAAAGCGCGCGUAGGCGGUUUUUUAAGUCUGAUGUGAAAGCCCACGGCUCAACCGUGGAGGGUCAUUGGAAACUGGAAAACUUGAGUGCAGAAGAGGAAAGUGGAAUUCCAUGUGUAGCGGUGAAAUGCGCAGAGAUAUGGAGGAACACCAGUGGCGAAGG